GAGUUUACGCUCUAUAACCCUUUGUGAACAUACCUAUAACUGUUGCUUCGGCGGGUAGGGUCUCCGCGACCCUCCCGGCCUCCCGCCCCCGGGCGGGUCGGCGCCCGCCGGAGGAUAACCAAACUCUGAUUUAACGACGUUUCUUCUGAGUGGUACAAGCAAAUAAUCAAAACUUUUAACAACGGAUCUCUUGGUUCUGGCAUCGAUGAAGAACGCAGCGAAAUGCGAUAAGUAAUGUGAAUUGCAGAAUUCAGUGAAUCAUCGAAUCUUUGAACGCACAUUGCGCCCGCCAGCAUUCUGGCGGGCAUGCCUGUUCGAGCGUCAUUUCAACCCUCAAGCUCUGCUUGGUGUUGGGGCCCUACAGCUGAUGUAGGCCCUCAAAGGUAGUGGCGGACCCUCCCGGAGCCUCCUUUGCGUAGUAACUUUACGUCUCGCACUGGGAUCCGGAGGGACUCUUGCCGUAAAACCCCCCAAUUUUCCAAAGGUUGACCUCGGAUCAGGUAGGAAUACCCGCUGAACUUAAGCAUAUCAAUAAGCGGAGGAAAAGAAACCAACAGGGAUUGCCUCAGUAACGGCGAGUGAAGCGGCAACAGCUCAAAUUUGAAAUCUGGCCCUAGGCCCGAGUUGUAAUUUGCAGAGGAUGCUUUUGGUGCGGUGCCUUCCAAGUUCCCUAGAACGGGACGCCAGAGAGGGUGAGAGCCCCGUACAGUUGGACACCAAGCCUUUGUAAAGCUCCUUCGACGAGUCGAGUAGUUUGGGAAUGCUGCUCAAAAUGGGAGGUAUAUUUCUUCUAAAGCUAAAUACCGGCCAGAGACCGAUAGCGCACAAGUAGAGUGAUCGAAAGAUGAAAAGCACUUUGAAAAGAGGGUUAAACAGCACGUGAAAUUGUUAAAAGGGAAGCGCUUGUGACCAGACUUGCGUCCGGUGAAUCACCCAGCUCUCGCGGCUGGGGCACUUCGCCGGCUCAGGCCAGCAUCAGCUCGCUGUCGGGGACAAAAGCUUCAGGAACGUAGCUCUCUUCGGGGAGUGUUAUAGCCUGUUGCACAAUACCCUUCGGCGGGCUGA
rnacentral:rRNA from 1 species